rnacentral:sRNA from 2 species
UGCACCUAGUAUGAAAGUGCCUCGCUUUGAGAUGUCCUCGAACCUCACCACUUCUAAUUCGAAUUACGUAUCGUUGUAUGCUGUAUCCAGGUUGAUCGCAGUGCCUGGCGUUGAAGCAUGGGGUCAGUAGCUUGGGAUGCCGAAUAAUAAGGAAUACUGGAGUUCGAUUCGAGCAAGCAAUAUGCCAGAAAUACCUAAGUUGUGAUCAAGGAUCCCCAAAAUGAACGUUUGUUUGACAGCAAGCUACACCACGAGAUUUUGGAUCGGGGCGCUAAACGUGUAUUCUCUAGCAGCGACAUCAAACAUUCGAUUUCAAACAGCUGUUGUCAUCAGUUACUGCCUAAAGGUGACUCUGGACCUUUUCUUGGCUAAACUUUGCACAAAUAACCGAUAACGCGUGUAUGAUUGUUUCCCCAGCAUACUUCAUCCAAAGGCCUUCCUUUUGUCAGAGA